UGAAGUAUUUGAUCCAAACAGUAUUAUU
rnacentral:piRNA from 1 species